rnacentral:lncRNA from 1 species
AUGCUCUACAUUUUCACUUUUCUUCUAAUAACUUUUUUCCCAUUUACAUUUAACAAACUUGUCAUUCUUCUAAGCCCCUUUUUCCUGCCUCCACCAAUAAAUGUAAAGAAGUUCUCCUCUGUCAAAGUCAGGAAAGCCUGGCUCAGUCUGUUGUGGAGAUUCUGCAAUUUGAUUUUGUUUCAUUACAAACACCUUCCUUGCCACCCCUGUAGGCUGGUCAACUAUCUCAUACCUAACAGUAGUUCUUCUGAGUCAUUCUCCUGCUCAGUAACAACUCAAAGUCACAGGAUCAUUUGGGCCCAUAUGACUGAUCUGAGUGAUGUGACUGGACCAAGAGAACACAGAAUAGUACUUUUGUUCAUUUCUUCUCCAUUUGUGAGCCAGCAGACAGGGGAACAGAAUCUGGCUAUGUGUGUGACUUUAAAAGGUACCGCUGAAUUGCAAAGAAAGACAUCUUAUGAUUUGUCUUACUGAGAUGCAUUGGAAACCAGAUUGAAAGUAUAUUUUUGUUUUUCAGGGGCUGUAGCAUUGAGGCAGUACAGACUAGAGCCUGUUAGCCUAUCCUAGUUCCUGUGCGCAGAUGAGCUUGAAUAGUUCUUCCAUGUUGCAUCCAGUUAGUAAGGAGGGUAUACAAGCAUGCUGAAAUUGGAAGGAAAACAACCCUCAUUUGCUCAUCCUCCACAGACCAGUCAGUGCUCUGCUCUUCACCAGCCCUCUCCGAGGACUAUAGGAACGAGCAGGGUGCCCACAAUGUUCCCUGUGGUUUGUUGGCUGCCAGCUGGAGCUGCUGGCUUGGUGUCUGCAUUGUGCUUCUAUAGCUUAAGAAGAAGGCAUCAGUUGUUGCUCUCACCAGGAUGCCUGCUGCUCUGUUGGAUGUCCCUAGGGGCUCCUCAGCAGUGAUUUCAAGCUUGAUUUCCAGCUGCAUGGAUGUGCGCAAAGUAAUAGCAUGGCCCUACUCCUGCCGGGAAUUUCCCAGGUACAAAUGUUGCCAAGGCUUCUAGAAGGUGUGGAGUUUGCUGCAUGUGCUCUGGUCAGGUGUAAAGGAGAAAUCCAGUCCUCUUGAGAUUUAUUUCUCCUGAAAGCUCUAGAAACCAGGAACAAGUAUAUAAAUUGCUUGGAUUUCACUGGGGAAAACCUUCUGGGCUGAAGACUCAGUAAGGGUUGUGAAACACUGGAACAGGCUGCUCAGGGAGAUGAUUGCCUUAUACUUUGUGAUGUUCAAAUUAGACUUGGAAAGGGCUCUGAGCACCUGAUCUAGCUGUAGGUGUUCCUGUUCAUUGCAGGAGAGUUGGACUGAAUGACCCUUAAAGGUCCCUUCCAACUCAAAGAGUUCUGUGAAGAGAAGUUCAGAAGUUGGGAUACUUUCUUCACUUUCCUCCUGCCAGUGUGCUUUGGGCAGGCUUUUAAUCUUCUGUUUUAGAGCUGCACUCUUCUCAUUCCCCCAAUUUUUCCUAUUCUACCUUUUGUCCAAAUU